CCUACGGGAGGCAGCAGUGAGGAAUAUUGGUCAAUGGCCGUAAGGCUGAACCAGCCACGUCGCGUGAGGGAUGAAGGAUCUAUGGAUUGUAAACUUCUUUUAUAGGGGAAUAAAGGUAUGCACGUGUGGAUAUUUGCAUGUACCCUAUGAAUAAGCAUCGGCUAACUCCGUGCCAGCAGCCGCGGUAAUACGGAGGGUGCGAGCGUUAUCCGGAUUUAGUGGGUUUAAAGGGUGCGUAGGUUGUUUUUUAAGUCAGCGGUGAAAGUUUGUGGCUCAACCGUAAAAUUGCAGUUGAAACUGGAAGACUUGAGUGUGGUUGAGGUAGGCGGAAUGCGUGGUGUAGCGGUGAAAUGCAUAGAUAUCACGCUGAACUCCGAUUGCGAAGGCAGCUUACUAAGCGAUAACUGACACUGAAGCACGAAAGCGUGGGGAUCAAACAGGAUUAGAUACCCGAGUAGUC
rnacentral:rRNA from 1 species